CAUGCAGUCGAACGAUGAAGCCCUUCGGGGUGGAUUAGUGGCGAACGGGUGAGUAACACGUGGGCAAUCUGCCCUGCACUCUGGGACAAGCCCUGGAAACGGGGUCUAAUACCGGAUACUGACCACUGGGGGCAUCCUNGGUGGUCGAAAGCUCCGGCGGUGCAGGAUGAGCCCGCGGCCUAUCAGCUUGUUGGUGAGGUAGUGGCUCACCAAGGCGACGACGGGUAGCCGGCCUGAGAGGGCGACCGGCCACACUGGGACUGAGACACGGCCCAGACUCCUACGGGAGGCAGCAGUGGGGAAUAUUGCACAAUGGGCGAAAGCCUGAUGCAGCGACGCCGCGUGAGGGAUGACGGCCUUCGGGUUGUAAACCUCUUUCAGCAGGGAAGAAGCGAAAGUGACGGUACCUGCAGAAGAAGCGCCGGCUAACUACGUGCCAGCAGCCGCGGUAAUACGUAGGGCGCGAGCGUUGUCCGGAAUUAUUGGGCGUAAAGAGCUCGUAGGCGGCUUGUCGCGUCGGUUGUGAAAGCCCGGGGCUUAACCCCGGGUCUGCAGUCGAUACGGGCAGGCUAGAGUUCGGUAGGGGAGAUCGGAAUUCCUGGUGUAGCGGUGAAAUGCGCAGAUAUCAGGAGGAACACCGGUGGCGAAGGCGGAUCUCUGGGCCGAUACUGACGCUGAGGAGCGAAAGCGUGGGGAGCGAACAGGAUUAGAUACCCUGGUAGUCCACGCCGUAAACGGUGGGCACUAGGUGUGGGCAACAUUCCACGUUGUCCGUGCCGCAGCUAACGCAUUAAGUGCCCCGCCUGGGGAGUACGGCCG
rnacentral:rRNA from 1 species